CUACGGGGGGCUCCAGGCGCGAAACUUCUACAAUGCACGAAAGUGUGAUAGGGGGAACCCCAGUGCUUACACAAUGUGUAGGCUUUUGCCAAAGGUAAAGUCUUUGGCGAAUAAGUGAUGGGCAAGACCGGUGCCAGCAGCCGCGGUAAUACCGGCGUCACAAGUGGCAAUCACAAUUAUUGGGUCUAAAGCGUUCGUAGCCGGUUUAGUAAAUCUUUUGUGAAAUUGUCGGGCUCAACUCGUCAGCAUGCAGAAGACACUACUAAACUUGGGACCAGGAGGGGUCAGAAGUAUCUCAAGAGGAGCGGUAAAAUGUUAUAAUUCUUGAAAGACUACCAAUGGCAAAGGCAUCUGACUAGAAUGGAUCCGACGGUGAGGAACGAAGGCCAGGGGAGCGAACCGGAUUAGAUACCCCAGUAGUC
rnacentral:rRNA from 1 species